UUACCACCUUUUGACAUGCCUGGACCGCCAGAGAGACCUGGCUUUCCCUUCGGGGACUAGGACACAGGUGCUGCAUGGCUGUCGUCAGCUCGUGUUGUGAAAUGUUGGGUUAAGUCCCGCAACGAGCGCAACCCUUAUCCUUUGUUGCCCGCGGUUCGGCCGGGAACUCAAAGGAGACUGCCAGUGAUAAACUGGAGGAAGGUGGGGAUGACGUCAAGUCAUCAUGGCCCUUACGAGUAGGGCUACACACGUGCUACAAUGGCAUAUACAAAGAGAAGCGACCUCGCGAGAGCAAGCGGACCUCAUAAAGUAUGUCGUAGUCCGGAUUGGAGUCUGCAACUCGACUCCAUGAAGUCGGAAUCGCUAGUAAUCGUAGAUCAGAAUGCUACGGUGAAUACGUUCCCGGGCCUUGUACACACCGCCCGUCACACCAUGGGAGUGGGUUGCAAAAGAAGUAGGUAGCUUAACCUUCGGGAGGGCGCUUACCACUUUGUGAUUCAUGACUGGGGUGAAGUCGUAACAAGGUAACCGUAGGGGAACCUGCGGCUGGAUCACCUCCUU
rnacentral:rRNA from 1 species